rnacentral:rRNA from 1 species
AUGCCAAUAGCUCAGUCCUUUUGCGUGUUCAUUGACAAGUUGUCCAUACAGUACCUUGGUAUCGACAACCACGGCCAUGAUGAUGGAGUCGUGCUGGCCGACUGCCCUGCUUCCAUGCGCCGAGCAGUCUACUGGUUUGAGAUGACCGUGAGGACUGCUAGGCUCAGGGGGUUGAAUCGGGUUCACCACAUGUGGUGGCAACCUGGAAACUUCAUCUUUGCUUAUAGUUUUGUUGGUGUUGUUCUGCGCAUGAUUCCUUAA